rnacentral:rRNA from 1 species
GACGAACGCUGGCGGCGUGCUUAACACAUGCAAGUCGAACGGAAAGGCCCUGCUUGCUGGGUGCUCGAGUGGCGAACGGGCGAGUAACACGUGGGUGAUCUGCCCCUUACUUUGGGAUAAGCCUGGGCAACUGGGUCUAAUACUGGAUAGGACCAUGCUGUAGGUGGUGUGGUGGAAAGAUUAGUUUCGGUAAGGGAUGAGCUCGCGGCCUAUCAGCGUGUUGGUGGGGUAAUGGCCUACCAAGGCGUCGACGGGUAGCCGGCCUGAGAGGGUGGACGGCAACAUUGAGACUGAGAUACGGCGCAGACGCCUACGGGAGGCAGCAGUGGGGAAUAGUGCACAAUAGGCGCAAGGCUGAUGCAGCGACGCCGCGUGGGGGAUGACGGCCUUCGGGUUGUAAACAACUGUCAGCCAUUACGAAGCCGUUGUGGUGACGGUAGUGGUAGAAGAAGCACCGGCUAACUACGUG